AGCUCCAAUAGCGUAUAUUAAAGUUGUUGCAGUUAAAAAGCUCGUAGUUGAAUUUCGGGAUCAAUAUUUCGGUCAUGCCGUUGGUAUGCACUGUUAUCAUUGAUUUCUCACCUUCUAAAGAACCGUAAUGCCAUUAAUUUGGCGUUACGGGAAAUUAGGACUGUUACCUUGAAAAAAUUAGAGUGUUUAAAGCAGGCUCACGCUUGAAUACAUUAGCAUGGAAUAAUGAAAUAGGACAUCCGAUUCUAUUU
rnacentral:rRNA from 1 species